CAAGAAUGGUGUCCUAUACAACAUGGCCUACAACAUCUGGCUUGGUGACAGCUAUGGCAAAAAGCCCAGUUCUCAGAUGUCAAAUCUUUUGCAUAAAGAUCAAGCACAAUGGGCGUUUUGGUCAAGAUGAAGAAACUGGGACUGCAAUCAAUGAAGCAUUCAGGAAGGAUUUCUCAAGUUCCUAACCUUGUACAGAAGGCACUUGUGCAUAGAAGGAAUAUCACUGUAUGGAGGAUGAACUGAAGAGGGAAGAGUCUUGGGGCAGGUAUUUGAUAAGGCCCUGAACAAAGGUGGCUGCUGUGAGCGGAGAAAAGGGGUAGAUGCAAUGGAUAGAG